rnacentral:rRNA from 1 species
CACGUAGGGCGCAAGCGUUGUCCGGAAUCACUGGGCGUAAAGCGCACGUAGGCGGCUUUUUAAGUCAGGGGUGAAAUCCUGGAGCUCAACUCCAGAACUGCCUUUGAUACUGAGAAGCUUGAGUCCGGGAGAGGUGAGUGGAACUGCGAGUGUAGAGGUGAAAUUCGUAGAUAUUCGCAAGAACACCAGUGGCGAAGGCGGCUCACUGGCCCGGUACUGACGCUGAGGUGCGAAAGCGUGGGGAGCAAACAGG